rnacentral:sRNA from 1 species
GCUGGGUGUGGUGGUGCACACCUGUAAUUCCAGCUACUUGGGAGGCUGAGGGAGGAAGAUUUCAAAUUCAAGGCCAGCCUUAGUCACUUAGGGAGACCCUGUCUCAG